CUCCAGCUGAGAGGUUCCACAUGGAUAUAGGAGAUGAUGUUCCCCUUGGGAGAGAGGAUCAAAGCUCCCCUGAGCUGCUUGCUGCUGAGUUUUACUCAUAAUAAUCUUUGUGGCUUCUACCCCAACCUGCCUGCAGGGCUCUGAGAUGGAGUAAGCUCAAAACUGUGGAAAAACAAAGAAUACGGAGAAAAAUCCAUUGCUCCUUAGCAUCCAAGCUGGUGUUCCAAACAGAAAGAUCCAAGGCUUGGCUGCAGAGAGAGAGAGAGAGAGAGAGAGAAAUGUUUAUGGUUUACCUGUGGGAACCCAGCCUGGGUCUUAAUAAUUUAUAAAGCCUGGAGCCCACCUCACCACCCUCUGCAUGAAGCUCAACACAUAUUUGUCAAAUGGCUGGAUCCAUUCAUCAACCCACAAAAUGAGCACUGUGUGAGCUGAGGUGCCUACGGUGUUGAACCUGGAAACCUGAGGAAAUGAUGAUACCAGCAAGAGGAAGGGGAAGCUGAGGAAGGACCUAGUCUUGGGAGUAGGUUGUAAAUUUGAUUUGGCCCAUGAAUGGCCUUAGAUAAUAUGAUAGUCAAGAUCCAGUGUCCGUGGACAGCAGGUGGCUGAAAAAAGAGGACUUAAGGUUGACUUUGAUGAUCAGCAGCAUAGAGUCAGUUCUCGCCUAGGGAAACAUGAUCAUAUUUGGAGUUUUAAAGAGAUGUUGCUAUGUGAAAUAUGUCCAAAUGGAGGAACUAGGAUGGUGUAGGGCUGAGAUUGUGGCUAGAACAUUUGGCUUCAUAGAGCAAUGCCUAUAAGGAUAUAUUUUGCUGUCAUUGCAUUUGAUCACCUCACAUGCAACAAGAGUAGACUUGUCCUGUGUCACUGCUGAUGGAUAAUUCUCCAUGGAUCUCUCAUGUUUCUGUCUAUGUUGUAAGUAAGGUGCUGAUUGCUCUGUUCUGGACUCUUUUCAAAAACACGUAUAUAGCGAACAGCCUUGGAACACAGAGAUAAUAUCUCUUUCCAGAACAAAAGGCAGACAUGCUUACUGCCUAAUACAGAAGAUUCAAGCUCCCUAAAUUCAGACUUCUCCUAUAUUAUGACUCAUUG
rnacentral:lncRNA from 1 species